rnacentral:tRNA from 1 species
GCGGUUGGUCUAGCGGUAGGACUAGGGCCUUCCAAGCCCUCAGCCCGGGUUGAACCGCGAGACGGCCGCG